GGAAGGAUCAUUACUGGUAGACCACAACGCACUUGAGGCCUAGCCUUAAGGGUCAUCCAGAUAGAGGACAACCUAACUGAUUCGAGGGUCUUAGUACCUUUGAUUCGAACUUGGAAGUCCAUCACCUAGAUCAUAGGCAGUACUGCUUUGGGAUGCAAGUCCUAUUUCGGUAUGGCUUAAGAGCUAGACAAGGGUAUAACCUAUUCACAACCCAUUACGAUGGAUGUCUAGGUUCCCACCUCGAUGAAGAGCGCAGCGAAUUGCGAUAUGUAAUGUGAUUUGCAGAUUGUGUGAUACAUCGAGUACUUGAACGCAUUGCGCCUUAGCUCGCGAGGGCUAAGGCAUGUUUGGAUGAGGGUCAGUAUCCUAUCACCCCCUUUAUUGGUAUGACCUUAGGGUCACACCUAACCAAAGGUGGUAACUUGUCUUUCCAUCAGGGGCGCCUAUUUGAUGGAUCGAUUAAAUGCACGGGAAGCCCAGAGUAAAGGUCUCCGGACUUGGACUCAUUAGUGCCCUUCUAACCUACCUCGGCGCCUCUACGUGAGAACUUAGAGUCAAUGGGUAGUGCUAGCAAGGUUCCCAAACUAAGUAGGUAGUACCUUUACCGGUAUAUACCUUGCCCAAGGCUAUAGCAGCUUGGGACCCUUCUAACUUUGACCUCAUCUCAAGCAUGACCACGCCCUAAACUUAAGCAUAUUAAUCAGGGCAGGAAAGGAAACCAAACGGGACUCCCUUAGUAACUGCGAGUGAAGAGGGACCAGCCCAGGCUGAAUCCAAAACCCCUGGGUUGCGGAGUUGUGGCCUUUGACUUGGGUCUGCAGCUAGGCUCGGUAGGUGAAGUUCUCUGAAAAGGGACGCCAUAGAGGGUUAAAGCCCCGUAACCUCACCAGGCUUGGUGAAUCUCCUAAGUUUAGAGUCAGGCUGUUUGAGAGUACAGCCUAAAGUGGGAGGUACGCUCCUCCUAAGGCUAAGUACAGGGUGGGAAUCCGAUAGCAUACAAGUACCGCGAGGGAAAGAUGCAAAGCACUCUGAAGAGAGAGUCAAAUAGUACCUGAAAUCGUAAUGGGGGAAGCGUCUAAGGGAGUCACUAUGCAGGUUGCCUUUCACCGGGCCUGUUUGGGUGCUGCGGGAUCUAGAGGUGCUUACGGGUAUCCAGGGUUCUGUAGAUGUCCUGGGCAGGCACGGGCAUUUAGGUAGCUUGCUCUCGGUUUGGGUUGCGGCUUGGGGAAAUAGGCUUGUGGUAAGGUACCUGGCUUCCAGGGAUGUCCAUGAGUUAGUACCUUCGCUUCGACCAGGGACUCAGGGGAGUAUAGCUAGGGCCGCAAGGCAGGGUCAAUAGGGUAUCAUUGGGUUGUCUGGUCUGGUUACAGCUUGCUGUCACUGGGUAAGAUGGCUCUCUUAGCUUUAUGACUACACCUAGCUUCAAGAAACCGGGUCACGACGAUCUUAGCCGUCCCGUCUUGAAACACGGACCAAGGAGUCUAACAUAUGCGCGAGUCUAAGGGUGGUAAACCUGCUAGGCGAAAUGAAAGUGAAUUGGGUGAUGCUGAGUCCACGGACGAUGCUGCAACCCGCACCGACCUUGACCCACGUGUGAUAGGUUUGAGUGGGAGCGUAUCUGUUAGGACCCGAAAGGUAGCGAACUAUGCCCGCAUAGAGUGAAGCCAGAAGAAAUUCUGGUGGAGGUUCGUAGCGGUACUGACGUGCAAAUCGUUCGUCAAAUGUGGGUAUAGCGGCGAAAGACUAAUCGAGCUGCCUAGUAGCUGGUUCCGCC
rnacentral:misc_RNA from 1 species